GAGGAAUAUUGGUCAAUGGGCGAGAGCCUGAACCAGCCAAGUAGCGUGCAGGAAGACGGCCCUAUGGGUUGUAAACUGCUUUUGUAUGGGGAUAAAGUCAAUCACGUGUGAUUGUUUGCAGGUACCAUACGAAUAAGGACCGGCUAAUUCCGUGCCAGCAGCCGCGGUAAUACGGAAGGUUCGGGCGUUAUCCGGAUUUAUUGGGUUUAAAGGGAGCGUAGGCCGGAGAUUAAGUGUGUUGUGAAAUGUAGACGCUCAACGUCUGACUUGCAGCGCAUACUGGUUUCCUUGAGUACGCACAACGUUGGCGGAAUUCGUCGUGUAGCGGUGAAAUGCUUAGAUAUGACGAAGAACUCCGAUUGCGAAGGCAGCUGACGGGAGCGCAACUGACGCUGAAGCUCGAAGGUGCGGGUAUCGAACAGGAUUAGAUACCCUGGUAGUCCGCACAGUAAACGAUGGAUGCCCGCUGUUGGUACCUGGUAUCAGCGGCUAAGCGAAAGCAUUAAGCAUCCCACCUGGGGAGUACGCCGGCAACGGUG
rnacentral:rRNA from 1 species